AGCAGCCGCGGUAAUUCCAGCUCCAAUAGCGUAUAUUAAAGUUGCUGCAGUUAAAAAGCUCGUAGUUGAAUUUCGGGAUCAAUAUGUUGGUCGUGCCUCGGUACGUACUAGCUUAUUGGUUUCUCCCUUCUGACGAACCAUGAUGUCAUUUAUUUGGUGUUAUGGGAAAUCAGGACUGUUACUUUGAAAAAAUUAGAGUGUUUAAAGCAGGCUCACGCUUGAAUACAUUAGCAUGGAAUAAUGAAAUAGGACGUUUGAUUCUAUUUUGUUGGUUUCUAGGAUCGACGUAAUGAUUAAUAGGGAUAGUUGGGGGCAUUAGUAUUCAAUUGUCAGAGGUGAAAUUCUUGGAUUUAUUGAAGACUAACUACUGCGAAAGCAUUUGCCAAGGAUGUUCUCAUUAAUCAAGAACGAAAGUUAGGGGAUCGAAGACGAUCAGAUACCGUCGUAGUCUUAACCAUAAACUAUGCCGACUAGGGAUCGGAUGAUGUUAAUUUUUAAUGA
rnacentral:rRNA from 1 species